rnacentral:rRNA from 1 species
AAAGUGGCGAACGGCUGAGUAACACGUGGGCAACCUGCCCUUUGCACUGGGAUAGCCUCGGGAAACCGAGGUUAAUACCGGAUACUCCAUAUUUGUCGCAUGGCGAAUAUGGGAAAGCUCCGGCGGCAAAGGAUGGGCCCGCGGCCUGUUAGCUAGUUGGUGGGGUAGUGGCCUACCAAGGCAAUGAUGGGUAGCCGGGUUGAGAGACCGACCGGCCAGAUUGGGACUGAGACACGGCCCAGACUCCUACGGGAGGCAGCAGC